GAAAGUUCCCUUUUUAAAGAUGAUUGUGCAAAGUUCAAGUAAAGGAAAGCAGAAAACAAAAGAUGGAAAAAAUGAAUAAUAUUGAUUUUUCUCCUUGCUCCUAUUUUGUUGUAAAGAAAGUUGAGAAGUAGCUCUCAAGGAAAUAGCUGAAGAUACAAUGUAGGAUUGAUAAGAAGUAGAGUUUGUCUUUUGUGUACAAAGUCGGAAUAAG
rnacentral:lncRNA from 1 species